CCUACAGGUGGCAGCAGUAGGGAAUAUUGCUCAAUGGGGGAAACCCUGAAGCAGCAACGCCGCGUGGAGGAUGAAGGUUUUAGGAUUGUAAACUCCUUUUGUUAGAGAAGAUUAUGACGGUAUCUAACGAAUAAGCACCGGCUAACUCCGUGCCAGCAGCCGCGGUAAUACGGAGGGUGCAAGCGUUACUCGGAAUCACUGGGCGUAAAGCGUGCGUAGGCGGGGUAAUAAGUCAGAUGUGAAAUCCUGUAGCUUAACUACAGAACUGCAUUUGAAACUGUUACUCUGGAGUGUGGGAGAGGUAGGUGGAAUUCUUGGUGUAGGGGUAAAAUCCGUAGAGAUCAAGAGGAAUACUCAUUGCGAAGGCGACCUGCUGGAACAUUACUGACGCUGAUGCACGAAAGCGUGGGGAGCAAACAGGAUUAGAUACCCCGGUAGUC
rnacentral:rRNA from 1 species